CUUUAUCCUUCGGGGUACAGCGGACACAGGUGGUGCAUGGUUGUCGUCAGCUCGUGUCGUGAGAUGUUGGGUUAAGUCCCGCAACGAGCACAACCCUUGUCUUUAGUUGCCAUCAUUAAGUUGGGCACUCUAAAGAGACUGCCGAUGACAAAUCGGAGGAAGGUGGGGAUGACGUCAAAUCAUCAUGCCCUUUAUGUCCUGGGCUACACACGUGCUACAAUGGUCGGUACAACGAGAAGCAAGUCAGCGAUGGCAAGCAAAUCUCUAAAAGCCGAUCCCAGUUCGGAUUGCAGGCUGCAACUCGCCUGCAUGAAGUCGGAGUUGCUAGUAAUCGCGGAUCAGAAUGCCGCGGUGAAUGCGUUCCCGGGUCUU
rnacentral:rRNA from 2 species